GCGACCCCAGGAUGGGCGAGACCACCC
rnacentral:rRNA from 2 species